UACGUAGGGUGCAAGCAUUAAUCGGAUUUAUUGGGCGUAAAGGGCGCGUAGGCGGGAAUAUAAGUCAGAUGUGAAAUCCCGGGGCUCAACCCCGGAACAGCAUUUGAAACUGCAUUUCUAGAGGGUAGGCGGAGAAAACGGAAUUCCACAAGUAGCGGUGAAAUGCGUAGAUAUGUGGAAGAACACCAGUGGCGAAGGCGGUUUUCUAGCUUAUACCUGACGCUGAGGCGCGAAAGCAAGGGGAGCAAACAGG
rnacentral:rRNA from 1 species